UUUUUUAAAACGCUUGAAAGAUACAGAUUAUGACGCGUUUUGAAGAGAAGGACGCCGCCGAUUGUCAACAACAAUAGUACUUGUUUUAGCCAAUUUAACAAGACAACCAAUACCAAGGAGCUAUGAAUAUUAAUAAAUACUCGAGGAUAUACUACAGGUAACUCAAACAAAUGAUUUAAUAGUGCAGGAAUAAACAGAAAUCUGCAAUGACUGAAUGUUUUCAUCUUCGAGUUUGGUAUAGUGAUGUAGUGUCCGUUCGACAUGUUUCACGUUCGCCCAAGUACCUGUGGCUGUUCGCCCAUGAUCGAUUCGCCCUGAUUUUUAUACCCCCGCUUUGAAAAAAAGGGGGUAUACUGUUUUACCUCUGUCUAUCCUUCCGUCUGUCAGUCAGUCCGUCCGUCCCAUGAAUAUUUUUCGUAACAUUUUUCUCAGGAACUACACUACCAGGAUUUCUGAAAUUUGGUUUCAGGCUUGAUAUAAGUCAGCUGUACUGUGUGAUGCGUUUUCAGAUUCAUCACUUAACAACUUCCUGUUUACCGAACACUUGUUUGAUUUUACACAUGAUAGCCAAGUUGAAAAUUUUUCGUCACAUUUUUCUCAGGAACUACAAUACAAGUAGUCCAGAUAAUCAUGCCGUCUUCUGAGGGUAUUUUUAUAUUUGGAUUUUUUUAGUUCCCUCAUUGACGUCAUGACGCUAAACCCAUAUGAGCGGUUGGAUGAAACUAUUCAGUUGAAAAUGGUUGAAAUAAACGUAAUUUGGCUCUGUGUGAAAUCCGGAAACUUCAAUAAAUCAUACCUUGGUGUACAAUCUUUCAGCUUUUUUGCAUUAACUUCAGAUAUUUGAUAUAUUUAAACCAUUAAAACAUAGAAAUACCAUUAUUUUUGCAGGAACAGAAGAUCGUCUUCUCUACAAAUGGCCGCUGAGUACCCGGAUUACUAAAGGGGACGUCUCAAAAAAGAAAAACAAAGUAAAAUUAAACCAAAGACGGAACAUUCGAAGACGGAUGCUGUGUAUAUAUGUAAAAAAUAAGAUUGGUUUAAAAAGACUUCCGCAAUGAUUAAAUCUUUUAUAAAGCUCAAUACUCAAAUAUCUUAUGUCUCGAAUAUAGCUAUAUAAUUCCUUGAUCAAUAUAAAAUGAAAAUGAAAAAUUGUAUUUUCCAAAUUUGUGUCAUUUCGUGAUUAUUUCUUUUUUGCAGGUUCUAUAUAAAAAAAACAAGAACUAUGAUUUUAUAUAACUUUCUUCUAUUUUUUUCAGAAUUUCCGCUGUCCCAAAGAUAGUCUGCUGAUUUAUUCUAUUGGCAACUAGAAGGAAAUGGUCUGCUGGUUAUACUAUUGCAAAAAAAGAAGGAAAUUGUCACCGCUUUAACAAUUGUAUAAUGAAUAUUGAACAAUAAUACAAUAGUAAUAUGAUGAUACUAGCAUAUUGAUAAAAUCCAAUAAAUAUACCCCUCUUUAAAAAGGGGCGCAGGACAUUUCAGCGCAAAAUUUAAAACCACUAUAAAACAUGCGCUCAAGUGGGUUGUACUUCAGCGCUGAAAUGUCCUCCGCUGUUUAAAAUGGGGUUAUGCUGUUUAACCUAUGUCUGUCCGCCUGUCCUGUUCAUUGAGUUACACCUUGCGAUGACUUUUCAGGUUCAUUACUCAUCAACUUUAUGUUAACCGAACACUUGCAUAUUUUUACACAGAAUAGCCAACUUGAAUAUUUUGUUGAAUAUCAGGGUUUUCUGAAAUUUGGUUUUAAGGUAAUUAAGUUCCUGUGUGAUAUUUUUUUUAUGUUAUUGUGUGUGUUUUGUAUUGAUGCCAACAUCCCAGAUGAUUGUUAGGCACUUCGUGUUUUUUAAAACCCUUUUUUUAAUAUGUUCAUGAUUAACUGUUAUGAUUAGGAUCCGUUUUGUCGUUACUUUGAGUUAGUCUUCCAAUUCUCAUUAUAUCAUCAUCUCUGGAUAUAGCUACUUGCCUCUCGCUGUACAUUUUCUAUGAAAAGCAAUAUAAAUGUUCACAUACAAACAUAUAUGCACAAACAACAUAAAUGUACAUACCCUAGCGUAUAGGUAUACACUAGUAUGUGUACAGUAAGAUCGUUUGGUUUUAUUUCAUGAUGCGCAGUGAUUGUUAGAUGUAAAAAAAAAAACCAUUCAUUUCAAUGUUUCUCUAUUUCUUCUUAAAACAAAAAAACUCAAAUAAUAAUUUGGAAAAUAAAAACAGCAGGAUAUAGUAACGAAAUACUUAUUAAGUGUCAUUUAAUCAGAAAUGAUUCCAAACAUGGCUUAAUAGGACAUUGACAUUUAUAUUUACAAUUAACACAACACAAACACAACUCACAGCAACACUCGGACACGCAAGGCACCUCACAUUCAACUUUUUUUUCCAUACUUCUCAAGUCUCUCAUAUCCAUUCCUUUUACAAUAAAAUUUCUAAGUAUCUUAGAACGUAUACACUCACUUUUCUCUCGCAUGAUGUGUGCUACGUCUUUGUCUGUAACUUGAGCAGACAAAGACCUCCCGUAUGGAUAAUUAACAUUCCAUCCCUGCCUUCCAUCUCUUCCACAUCUCCCAACUUCCUGCCAAAAACUCAUAACAGUUUUAGGAGCCCCCCAAUUUACAAUGAUAUCAAUAUCUGGGAUAUUAAUUCCCAUCCCAAAAGCUAUUGUCGCUACUAAUAUUUUUAUUUUCCCUUCUUUAUCUUUAAAGUCCUUCAUUAUUCGAGUUUUUGUUUUUUCCUCUGUUGAUGCAGUGUACAGCUCGACAACUCUAUUGUCUACUGACUUGUCUCCAUCGUACGCUUUCUCCAUUAAUGUUUCUAACAAAUAACUCCAUACUUCAAAAGAUUGACUGUAAGACCUGAAAUUUUAACGCACUGUAAAUAUAACAUUUCAAUACAUGCAUUAUUUUGGGCUUGCUGUUCUGUGUGAUCCAAGACUCUGUGUUGAAGGCCGCGUACUUAAACCUAUAAUUGUUAACUUUAAAUACAUUGUGUGACUUGGUCUCAUUGGCACUCAUACUACAUUUUCUUAUCUAUAAUGUGUUUUUUAUAAAAUACUUGUUUGAAUCAGUACUAACAUGUUUAUUUAAAUCUAUUAAAACAAAGAAAGACAAUUAUUAUGAUUGAUUGUUGGUUGCUGAAGUCCAUUCACACAUAUUUUAUGCAUGUUCCCGACGAAUAUAAAUAUCUAUAUAUAUAUGAAAGUUUGUGAAUAUCCUGUGCUAUAUAUAUUCUGUUGUUUUCUUCACCUGCAGUAUACAAUAACUUUUUUGCUGUUGUUUCCAUGAUUUGACACCAUAUCAGCAAUCCAUUUCAAUUCUGCAACAUCCUGCUUUGCAACAACCAAAUCAAUGAAUAUAUUGGACCUGCAAUUAAAUGUAAAAACUAUACAUAUAACACAUAAAAUCUGAAAUUAUCAGAAACUAGAAUAAUGAAUGCAAACGAGGAAUGUGUCAAAGAGACAUUAACCAGGCUUAGCACUUUAAUAAUAGAUAAAGAAUGGAAACGUGGUUUUAUGAAUUGAUCUUUUGAGUUUUGCUGUGCGUUUUACUGUAUAUAUAAAAAUUAAAAGAAGAUGUGGUAUGAGUGCCAAUGAGACAACUCUCUAUCCAACAAAACGAAAGUUUGUUUAUUCUACAUUGGCUAGAGAUAUAGGGGAGGGUUGAAAUCUCACCAACAUGAUUAAUCCCCUCCGCAUUUCUGCCCCUGUCCCAAGUCAGGAGCAUCUGUCCUUUGUUUGUCUUGCAUGUUUUUUUACCUUUAAGUUCAUUUAUAUGUUUCGAAAUUUAGUGUGACGUACAUUUUGUUGUUAAUGCGGCUGAAGUCGCCUCCGGGUGCGGGAUUUUAUCGCUGUGUUGAAGACCCAUUGGUGCUGUUUUAUGGUCGUUGGUUGGGUCGGAAUUUCCAUUCACAAUUUUAUUUGAAUGAUAAAAAGUUAGCGAGUAUUUUUCAGAUACUUGGGGGUAUAAAGAUAAUAUAUAACUUGUUUUGUGUGUAACGUAUACCUAUUUGGAAUAACAGCAAUUACUUCUGUUUCCGUUGGAAGAGUUAAAAAUUUAAAAAUGUCGUCGACAAUCUUUUGGUUUGCUGUUGCUGUCAAAGCCAAAAUUGGCUUGUCAGCUAAUAUGCUACACGUGAUUUCCAAAUCUCUGAAUUCUGGUCGGAAAUCCUCACCCCUAGAAAAUAAGUAUUCAUAAAUGUCUUUAUAUACAUACAUUAAAAGUAAGGUUUUUUUUAACAAAUAUGACAGAGAAAAUGUGAUAUUAAGAAAGUUUUCAUGAUGAGUAACGCGUAGAAUAUUAAAAAUCUGUAUUUCUUUUUAAUACUUGUACUAUUUUUUACUUCAAAUGUUUCUUGUUACAAUAUUUCGUUCUGGUACAAAUCAAAUCUUAAAAAGUACCUUGUCAGUCAAUCUAUCAAUUGACCGUUAAUUUAUUUUAUAUACUUAUAUCUAUAUAUAUGACCCAUCUACAGAUAGCGUUAUAUUUUGAUGUAUGUGCGUCUAGCAUUCGUUCUUUCAUGCAUUAGGACCUCGACCCUUAGAUUUUGUCAAGUCAUUUUAUGAGGAGGUUGAAGUUAUAAUACAAGUGUUUAUUAUGAUAGUAUGAUCUUUACAAAUUGUACGCAAAAUUAGGCUUUUGACAACAAUUUCCCGGUUUACUGAACAUUGAAAAUAAAAGGACGAGAGAGACAUCUUCAAACUGUGGACACAUUUUCUUGUUUCCUUUAAUCCCAAAGGAAAUGUAUCCAUUAUAUAUUUUAAAAAGCGAUGAGUUAUUCGGCUUAAUUAUAAAACUAAAUAGCAUACUCUUCUUAUUAAAUGCCAAAAAAAUAUACCAUUCAGAUAUACAGUGAGCUUCAUCACAAACAAAGAGACUACAGUCUAACUUUGGCAAUAACUGUCUAAAAGCUUUCGUUGACAAGUUUUCUGGCGAUGAAAAUACCAUUGAGAUGGAACCAUUCUUUAGAGCUGCAAUUAAAAUGAAAUAAAAUUAUAAGAAUAAAUAUAGUCCGGUUUAAAACAAUUAUACUUCCAACCGGGUUUGUACUUUCUUGAACAUCGACCGGCUAUGUGCGUGAACACUCCCUGAGUAACUGUAUCUUAAGUGUUGCUCUAUUUGCCUUUGUUAUUCAGUCCUCUUCUCAGAUAACAUGCUUAUAUAAAAAAGAAGAUGUGGUGUAAUUUCCAAUAAGACAACUAUUCACAAGAUACCAACUUACACAGAAAUUACAAACUAUUGGUCACCGUACGACCUUCAACAAUGAGCAAAGCCCGUACCGCAUAGUCAGCUUUAAAAGGUCCCGGAAUGACAGAUGUAAAUCAAUUCAAACGAGAAAACUAACGGCCUAAUUAAUGUACAAUUAAAUGAACGAAAAACAAAAAAACUAUUUGGUGAAAGUAAUUUAUAUAUAUCGUGUAUCUGACAUUGACCUCAACUAUCAAAUCAAUUUUAAGUCGUCCUAGUAGCUAUGAAGAAUAGUUUGGCAAGAUUUAUAAAGCAAAACCGUUCAUAAGCACCUGAAAUCAACCUCGUUUUAUGAUUCGUGUUGCUCAAUCUGAAGUCGUUGUUUUGAUUUACAUGUAUGAGUUUACAUAGCGCUUAUGUCUAGUAUUGUGUAUUUUUAUAUGUUUUGUAUUAGCAUAGUAUUUGAUAAGAAUAUUCCUUAGAUUAAAAUGAGAACGUAAGGAGUUGCUUCUUUGUAUUUGUAAGAUAUGUUUCUAUGUACAGUCGCAGAUAUAUUUACAUGUACCUUUAAAAAAAAUUCUUAUGCAAAACAAUAAGUAUACCUUCAACGCUGUCUUCUGAGAUGUGUUUUUGUAGGAUCAAACUUUUAAUAUCAUACUUGGAUAGGAUCUCUGUUUGGUCAAUCAUUAAACUGUUUAGUGGGGAUACCACCAAACUUAACCAUUUUUCCGUCUAUAAUCAACAUAAAAAACAAUUAAAACAUGCAUAAUUAAUUCUAAGGAAUUACUGCAUUAUACUUUUAAUUGAUGUCAAAAUAUGGAUUUCUAUGCUAUAUGAGAGGUUAAGCUAUAUUUGAAACCAGUGUCAAUUGUGUUUCAUUUUAUUUUACCAUUUGAAAGUCUUAACGAUUGCUUUUUCGAUAUACUUGAAGAUACUUGUAUAUUAGUAUCAAUGAAGUACAUGUAUUAGAAGAAAUGCGAUUUAUAUACCUACAAGGACUUUUGUUACAUUUCAAGAUUGAAUUGAUUCACAGCUUAAAAACCUUAUUUUAUUUUUGAUGUGUAUUUUAAUGUGUAUUUUUUGCUAUUGAUUUAUAAAUGUAUUUGUUUAUUCUUUACAUUGUAAUUGUUAUAAUUUCUUGACACGAUUGUCAAGUUAAACUGUUUACUUUUCGGUUUAAUUCAAUGUAAUAAAAUAUAUAUAUAUGACAUGAAAAUCAGAAAUUUAUUCUUAUUAAAAAGGGGGGUGGUACCUUUUUCAUUAAGGUUGGUAAUAUAUAACACAUGCUUUUUCCAUAUCCAGUUGGCAGUAUUGCUACACAUUUUUGACCUUGUAAUAUUUUGCUUAUAACUUUACACUGUUCAGGUUUAAGAUCGAACGGUAAAUCAAACUCUUCUUUCAAAAGUUGAAAACGUGCUUUUACGGCUUCUUCUUCCAUCUUUCUAUCACGUGACUCUUGGACUGAAAAUGGCAACAUGUGCUAACUGUUGCGUACCGUUUGAUAAAAAAAGUUCUGGGCAUGGCUUAAAGAGACACAGUAUCCAUUUACUUGAUGAGGACGCUAUUUCUACAUGUAUAGGGACUGAAUCGUUCACACCUAAUUCUAAAAGAACAGGACAAUUUUUGUGUCCAGAGUGCUACAAACUUUUGAAUGCCGCCACUACCUCAUCAAAAAAAUCAAAAGAUUUCUCUCAAAAAACAAAUACAACCAGCUAUAUUGCAUCAAAGACUAAAAGAAAAUUCUCUGUUCUAACUCCAACAAAAACACCAAGAAAAACAAAGGCAUCUAAGAAUGAAACACAGGUAUAAACAUACUGUACAAUUCACCCCUCCCCCCUUUUUUGCGUUAAAUUACAAAUUACUGUCUUAAUGUAUUUAUUGUACUAACAUAGGAAGGUUUAAUGUCCUCUGUUAAUUCGUUUCACUCACUAAAAAUCACAUGAAUAACAAUACUGAGGGGGUUAGAUUUUCGUCCGUGAUUCGUUUUUUCGUUUUUUUGUGAUUAGUGGAUUUGUGAUUCGUUUUUAAUUCAAUUUGAUAAACGUUCUCCGUGAUGAAUCGUCGUGAACUGAUCAGCAAAGUAAAUGUCUCGUGAACCUUGAAUCUGAUGACCCCCCCUCCAAUUUCCACAUUCAGAGAAUAAUAAUGCAGUUUUGAAUUACUACUAUUUGUUUCUUUUUUUAAUUAUACAACAGUUUUUCAAAAUGUGUUUUAAUAAAAGUGCAAAAUUAAUUAGAUGUAGCCAAAGUUUGAACAAAUAAAUUACCACAUUGUAAUAGAUUUAGUCUGAACUAAAAGUGCAACGAUUAUGACGUACUUAAAGACCGUUGUUGCUUCUGUAAAAGUACAUGGUUCACGGGGGGGCUUUUAACUACACUUAUGACAUAUUCUUUAAAAGUACAUACUAGUAGUUGUUUGGUUGUCAGAUCUUUUUUCAAGUGAAAUUUCGUAUAGAGUGAUAUUGCUCGCUGCAUUUUUUUUUUAAAGAUAAUAAAAGAUUUCAUCAAUACUUGACACCGGGAUUUUACACAAAUAUAUAUAUAUAUAUAUAUAUAUAUGCUGACUUUAUUUUUAGAAGUCAACCACUGUGAAGUCAACACCAAAAAAGACGUAUGGUGGGCGACGAACAGAGCUGAUUUACUUUAAAAAUUAUCAGUACAGACAGGCUUUUAGAUGCUUACUGAGAAAAUCUGACGCAGCAAGAUCAUGUCUUAUGAAGGUUAUGGGGGAUGAGAUAAAGAAAGAAAUGAAACAGCUCUUUUUGAGGCGACAGUCAUUUGAACUGGGACGUCCGUUCAAUUCCAAAAACAUCAAAGAAUUCUCAUGGAAAAAUAUUAUCCAAGAAACUCAAGAAAUAUGCCCUUUCCUGUUUAACACUUUAUCGUCUGCACUUGCCAUGAAGACUGAUAUACACAGGUUAUUAGACAAUUGACUUGUAAAGAUUAAGAUGUAAACUGAAUAUAUAUAUAGUUCAUAGAAAAAAGUACCAAACUUUAAUCAGGCAUAUCGUUAGACUAUAAGUACGUCUGAACCAGUUCGAAUCCCGCCAAGGGAAGAAAAACAAUUGCUGCGCAAAAUUAAAAAUCUAAUAUUGUUUGCGUUUUUAUAUUGUAACUUAGACGUUAUAUAUAAACUUAAAAUUAAAAACCAAAUAGCAAAGCAAAAAACUAAAAGCAAAUAUGAUAGACAAAAUCAAAAUGAUGUCCAGUCACCAACGGGCAACAACCUCCGACUUAUAAACUGACAAAGCCAUGGCAAAAAUGAAUCAGACAAACAACAGUACACAAAACACAACAUAGAAAACUAAAGACUGAGAAACUCGAACCCCACCAAAAACUUGGGGUGAUCUCAGUGCUCUGGAAGGGUAAGCAGAUCCUGCUACACAUGUGCAUAGCACCCGUCAUUAAUUCACCCUUUGCAAGACGCAAGAAAGGGAGUUUUUACAAUAUAUAUUUUUAUGUUUCAGAGACAUGAAUCCAAUAAUAGGAACCAUAAUAGGAAUCGUAACCCACAAACGAUAUCCAAAGACAUUUCAGUUGUUUCAAGCAAUGAACUCCACACAUCUUUGGAGACACAAUGCCUCGCAGUCUGUAUGUUUAAACAAUAUUAACUCGCAUUCACACUCAAAUAAAGUUAAUCUCAUAUUUGUUAUAGAAUUUCUCAUAAGUUUCAUUCUCACGCUUUAUCACAUAAAAUCAUUAGACUCGUGGUUAAUCUCAUGUUUAAACUCAUAAAUAUCAUGAUCAUAGAUAUAAUAGAUGAACCGAAUAAUUUCUACCCUCAAAAUCGACUGACAAAAGCAUUUGAUUCUUAAGUCAUGUCAAUGAAAGACGAACUAACACCACAUCUUCAUUUUUAUAUUAACAACCAUUCUUUAGUAGCUUUCGGCGACCAUACCAUAAGACAACCGAUAUAACAGAUAAAACCAAUUGACGUGAUUUUCGAAAGGAUAGUUACUUAUCACGAAAGCUUUUGAUUAGUUCAUACAUGUUAUGUACAUUCGUUUGAUGCGGUCCGUAGCUUGAUUAACAAUACAGACUUUAAUAUAAGGCUACUUGUCAUUUUUGGCUAACAUUGGAAAAUAUCUGAGACCCAAGGUUUCAUCGCGUAUAGUAUCAAUCUAUGGGUUUUGUUCAGUGUAUAGCAUUGUUUGCAUGCUAUAAGUCAAAUGAUAAAUACAGCUGGUCUGUGAAAUGUUAAAUAUUAUAUCUGAUUUGUUCUCCUAAAAUGAUGUCUCUUUCAUAUUUUAACAGUUGUUUAAAGACAUAAACCACCUUGGUUUAUGCUUAAGCUACAAACCAACUUUAGCCAGGAUAGACAGUUUGACAAGUGAAUGUAGCAGACAAACAGAGUCUUGGAAGAAUAAUACAGAGGUUGAUUUUAUUAUUUUAUUUAAUUUGUCAAAUUUGAUAUAAAAAAUAGAAAUUUGUACAGUUUUCUCGUUUGAAUUGUUUGCACUGGUCAUAUUAUAGCCUUAACAGCUUAUUUUUCGGUGUUAUCCAUUUAGAGAGUUUUAUCAUUGUCAUCUCGUAUUUCUAUAUGGAGUAUAGCUUGCUAGCAUACCUCAAAAUGAUAUUAACAAUACACAAUAAUUGUCUAUUAUUGUUCCUACCAAAAAACACUCAGAGUCUAGAAAAUCAUGUUGAGAUUUUUUAUGACAGUCAACCGGUCUUCCGAGAUGGAGGUUACAUUAAUAGACAUAAGCAAUUGACUUCUUUUUUUUUAAAUGGGUGAAAGCCUUUUUGAGUUAUUGCCAGAAGGGUCGACGAUGGACGGACGGAUUGACGGACAGACGGUAUACCAUAAUAUGUCCCGUCUUAGACGGGCGUAUAAAAAUUGAUAUUUUUUUUAAAAAGUGACCAGAACACAAAACAUGCAAUAAAAUUUAUUUCCCCGUCAAGCUUUCUUGUAUAUUGUUGACAAGGUGAAAAAUGUAUCAUUUUCAGAAUUACCUUACGAAAGAUGAAGAUCUGAAUGCAUCUAUGGAAACACUUCCGUACAUGGAAGAAGAUUCUGAUGAUGAGCUUAUUGAAGCAUUAGGCCUAAGAGAAGAUGAUGGAGUUGCUCCACUAGGCCUAAGAGAAGAUGAUGGAGUUGCUCCACUUGAAGAAGCACCAGUUCAACCUGGUAGAUAUUUAGUAUUUAAAAAAAAAGAUAUAAUCGACAUUUCAUAUAUAAGUAUUCAGAGUUCUUUCAAGAAAAAAAUAUCUGACAAAACGAAUAUAUUUGUCCAAACAUGCAAGGGCUUCAACGCCAGUCAAACACUACCAUAUAUAUAUAGUUAUCAUGAAGAGUCCUAAUGGAAGGAUGAAAUCGAUUGAACUGUGUCAAAACUUUUUAUACUUAUCUUUCUACUUUUUUUUAUAAAUAUAUACAUCUUCACAUGUGAACCUUAUAUAUAUGGAAGAGGCUAAAUGCACUAUAGUUUAUACUAGUUUUCUAUUAUAUAUAUGGAAGAGGCUAAAUGCACUAUAGUUUAUACUAGUUUUCUAUUCAACUUUCAAGUUUCUUCAGUUAUUUCAGAAACACUUGCAUUUUAGGGUAUACAGUCUGUUGGGACAAUGUUGGGAAACACACAGUGGCCAGACACCAGUCAAGGGAAAGCAUAAAUGUAAUGCAUAACUGGGCGUUAGCCUACAUUGCCGAAAAUAGAGUACCAACCAUAAGAAAAAACCCUGAACCACCGACAAUACUCGCCAUGGACAUCCCAGUCAUGACCUUCCUUCCUACGAAGGAAGACUUUCUACAAUUGAAGAACAGGAUGACUGUAAUGGUAGAACGUAUCUUGGCUACAUACGUCAAAACAUAUGAAGAGGAGAAGGAGACUGCAUUCAAUCCCAUAAAACAUGAGAAGUGGGACAGUAGUAUUAAAAAAAGCAAAAUUGUAAGACACAUCAACGUUAAUUUACAAACAAUAAAAUAAAUCAAUCGUGUCCGAUUUAUUUCAAAUCAUUUGAAACAUUUAAGCUUACUCUUUUGUAUGAGUUUUGCUUAUUGUUGAAGGCCUUACUGUCUCCAGAGAAAAGUUGAGUCAAUAGCAAUCACACCUUAAUUAAAUUAUUAUUUCAUAUUCUAUUUCUCCAUCAAAGUAGACGAAGAAAACCUACAGGUUACACAAGAACCAUGAAACGAUAAAAAAGGAAUGUAUUAUGUUAAAAAAUAGUUUUAUCUAAUUUCAAAUGAUGCGUCGAAUUCAAAAAUGGAUAUUGAUUGAUUAUUAUUUAGUAAAACAAUGUCUUAUCUGUCAAUUAUCUUCAGAACAGAGAUAUAUAUUUUAUGCAUGCUUGUUUAAAACAAACUUUUGUUUAAAAAGUUUAUUAAUAUUUCCAGCAUUUAUAAUAAGUUUUACUUUUACAGAUUAACAUUGGGGUAAUCGACGAAAACCCAUCGUCUACAAACGGGGUAAUCCAGAUACUGGACAAACUGCAUGCACAUGUUCCAUAUGAUGGUGAUAAAAUAUUCCCCCUUAUUUCAUGGGGAGAUGCUCUGUCAUGUGAGCGCCAUAAUGACGCCCACAAUGUAAGGUCAAACUCUGGCAAUGAGAGGGAUAGGUUGGAGGGUUUAGAGCCAGCAAUCCAGGAAUUCCAUAAAAGGAUGCUUUUGCUACAGGUUAUAUAUAACUGAACAAAUAUUUGUUUACAGAAUAAAAAUUGCAAAAAAGAUUCAAAUUGGUUGAUUUACUUGAAACAGAAUUAUAACUGUUCAGCUUUCACAAUUCAUGACAUUAAACGCAACCUACACUUUUUGGUUUAUGCAUUCUAAUAUGGUUUGUCUAAACGUCUUUUUCACGAAUUAUUGAAACAAACAAUUAUAUUAACAUGAUACAUAUAAACAUAUUUUUGAAGCGUGGUAUACAACAUGACAGAACAGACUGAAAUAUGUUCAAUGUGUUCAGCUUUUAUAAAGUAUCUGCUCUAACAUAGAAAUUAUAUAUAUCCAACAUAAUCUGUACAUGUCUUUUCGUCACAAAAUAUGUAAGGUUAUAGAAAAUUUUUAUUUGAAGAAUCUGGGAUUUCAUUGAGUUCAUAAAUCUGAAUGACGUUUAUUCAUAUAAGUAAUGUUAUGAUUUUUAAUCAUUGGUAUAUAAUAUUGCAGGACACUAUGAAUAAGCUGUUUGUUGGUGCCAGUGCCAACCAGAAGGGCACACUAACAUAUUUGAGAAAUGUGUUUAAUCACAGAGGUGUCAAAAAAGAUGUUUCAGAGUCUUUCAACAAAGUACACGAGUUUAUUGAGUUUGUGACCGAGGGCUACGUCUGUCUCAUGGCCAUGGAUAAAUUGGGAAUGGAAGAUUUAAACGACGACGGACGGACACCUAUGGCAUUACAUGACAUCGCCAAUGACAUUGUAGAGACGGUUUUGGUAGAGCCAGAUAUGGGCGUGUUGAAAAAAGAUGGAAAACGCAAAGGAUAUUGCCUUUGUGAGGAUGGUACGCACAAAAUAUAAGAAAUAUUCCAUAAGUUUAAAUCCAUACGAAAAUAAAUUAUUUCUAAGUAUAAGAUAUAUGGGCUUUGCUCAUUGUUGAAGGCCGUACGGUCCACUAUUGUUGUUAAUUUCUGUGUCAUUUGGUCUCUUGAGAAGAGUUGUCUCAUUGGCAAUUACACCACAUCUUCUUUUUUAUAUAUAAAAAUAUACAUGGGACAAAUUCGCACACAACUUGAUAUAGAAAAAUAAAAAAAAAAAUAUCAAUAGGUUUUGUUCCCCUGUUCUUCAUCUUGACAAUUGAUGGUCUUCGUUACUGCAUGAAAUAAUCAUUAAUACCCUACAACAAUACCAGGACGGUCCCUAUCAUCGAUUUCAGCGGAAUACUUCUGAUAAAAAUAAACCACAUUUCACCUUAUUAAUCCACAACCGCACGUCGAAAUCACCUGGGAUACAAAAACAGUGAAAAAAUUUGAAAGACAGAACUAUUUAUCAAUAGUUCCAAAUGCUUCCAUGUUCCGACUUCUUUUUCUUUUUACAGAGUCUGACGUUCCAAACGCUGAUGAACCGAUGGUUGGGUGUGAAAAUCACCAAUGUCCUAGUGGAGAGUGGUUUCACCUGUCUUGCGUUGAUCUGGAUGCCCUUCCUAGUGAAGGUUAAUAACUUAAAAAUAAGUUUUAAUGUCAGUACUAGUAUACACAUUUAAAUAACGUAAUCAUAAUACAAAAUCUUCUUUUAUAUAUAUAAAGCAAGACUAUUACACAUUAUUCGUUCCUGUUUGACUAUAAAACAUUUCUUCAAUACGCACUAGAACAGUUUCCAUCGACAUAACUGUUUAUGUAGGACUCCAAUUAUUAUUUCUUUUAUUUAUUUAAAUACUUAUUUCAGAUGAAAAAUGGUUUUGCUCUCAAAGCUGCAGGUCGACGAUUACUGAUCCAGAUAUCGAUCAUAAGUUUGAAUAUGUAAAGGCAGUAAUGUUUGAGGGUCUCGGUCACAUGGCUCGACGAGAUGCCAUUAGGGAGAAUGAUGGUCCUGCAAUCAUCAGUAAUUGGAAGGUCGAUAUGAUUUCCUUCCACAACCACCAUCACCCCAAAUAUUUUAUUCUUGGGCACCGUUUGGUUGCAGGUGUGAUAUUUUUUAUAAAACAAAAAGUAUGAUAGAGCUUGCAAAAAAAAAAACCCAACGUUUUCUUGAAUUUACUUUCAUCGAGCUUGACUUUGAAAGCUUGGAUACGUAACUAUAACAUACCAAGUAAUAAAUUGAAAAUAAAAGGAGUAAACGUACAUUGGACAAAAUACAUAAAAAAUACAAAUUAUCAAUGAAUAGGUUUUUUUCACUGUACUUCAUCUUGACAAUCGAUGUAGAUUACUCAACAAUGAACGAAUCAUUCAUACUCUAAAAAUUAUAAAGUAGCCGUCUAAGGCGUCAUAAUUAUUUGGAUUACAACCAGGGUUCUAAGUAAAAAGUAAAUAGUACUAUUUAUGCCUAUUUUUUGGCGGAUGCCCUAUUUUUUGGCGGAUAACGACAUCUCAAAUAUAUGCUAUUGUUGUGAAAGAUGAAAACAAAUUGAACACUGAAACUGAAAUGACGGAAAUAAAUGAAUUGAUACAAGAGAAAAUUUUUGCACAAGCGUAAACCCAAACUUUAGACUUAAUCUUGUUUCAUUUUGGUUUAAGGUGUAAGUGGCUGGCUUACGGAGAGGCUAAAGAAUGACCUCAUAUGGAAUAGAACUGUAAACUAUAGAGGAGGCCAAAGGAACAACAUUGAAAUGGACAUGAUGAAUGAGUUCCUAAACAGAGAAUUCAAAGGUCAAUUAAGAUAUAAAGAUAUAAAGAUAUAUAAUGUACCACUUGAAACUUGCACUUUAUAUAGUUCACAACAAGCAAAUUUAACACAAGUCGGACACGUAAUUUCAGUACAGCAUAGAAUAUCAAAUUAUAAAUGUAUAAUUUUUUUUUUUUUUAUUAUAGAUGAAGUUGAAUAGUUAUAAUAAACAUUUAUAUUUUGGUUUUCAUCAUUGUGACACGAUCAUUAAUCGAAACUUGAAGAAAGAAAACAUGUUGAACAAUGUGAAGUAAAAAUAAGUUGUGCAAUGAGCUUGUAUAUUAAUAGUUGCAACAACCGAAGACCGUUUAAAUUUCUUGCAUGAAACUAUUUUUUCUGAUUUAAGUUUUGUUUGCAGAUCGGAUAGACUCAGCUGCCAGUGCAUUAACAUCAGACGUUUUAAAGAGGCAUUCCAUCUUAGCUGGGGGUAUAGGGAAUGAUAUCGACAAGAUCUUCCAGUACCGUGUCUCCUCACGAUCGGCUGAUUAUCACGGUACUGGGAAGAAACGUAACAACACCGUUGAUAUCAACUACUUUGUUGAGUUACUGCAGAAAGAGAAACUUGUCCAGCCUAUGGGGUGCAGGAAUUUUGGCUCACAUCCAAAAUUCAUUCAUCAAAUCAAUAUUAAGUCGCCGUCAGUUCUAAUAACAAAAAUAGUCUCGCACUCUAUCAAACUCGACAAAAGAAAAAAUCUUGUUGUCAAUGGUUAAACCAUGUUAAAGCGAGACUAAGUGAUCUACAUUCCGUCGUGUCGGCGCGUCAAAAAAAUAUUCCACUCUGUGGUAAAGUUUUUGAAAUUUUAAUAACUUUCUUAAACUAUACUGGAUUUCUACCAAACUUUGACAGAAGCCUGUUUAUGAUCAUAAGAUAGUAUCCAGAAUUUAAUUUUGUUAAAAACAAAUUAUAUUUUUUCCGUAUUUUACUAUAAAUGGACUUAGUUUUUUUCUGCGGGGAAUUACAUUCACUCUGUGGUUAAAGUUUUUAGAAUUUUAAUAACUUUCUCCAACUAGCCUGGGUUUGUACCAAACUUGGACAGAAGCUUGUUUAUGAUCAUAAGAUAGUAUCCAGAAGUAAAUUUUGUAAAUAAAUAAAUCCAUUUUUUCAAUAUUUUACUUUUAAAUGGACUUCGUUUUUUCUGCGGGGAACUAUUACAUUCACUCUGUGGUUAAAGUUUUUAAAAUUUUAAUAACUUUCUUUAACUACCCUGGGUUUGAACCAAAAAUGGACAGAAGCUUAUUUAUGAUCAUAAGAUUGUAUCCAGAAGUAAAGUUUUUAAAAAGAUUACUCAGUUUUGUCUGUAAUUUACUUUUAAAUGGACUUGGAUUUUCUUACAAUCAUAAAAUAGUAACAAGAGGAAUAUUUUAUUUUUUUAUUCAUUGUUGUUGAGCCUGCGAUUUACAGCAAAAAUAGGCGAGACACUGGGUUCUGCGGAACCCUUACAAAUUUUUGAUAUAACAAAUCCAAUUUGAGUUGACUUUACGAAAUUAUGAUUAUCUAUUUUAUAUUGCUUCAAUUAAAUUGUCAGGUAUACUAUAUACAAUAUUGAGCAGCUGUAACACAUACCCGCUGGGUCACUGCUGUUACAGCUUCUCAAAAUUGUUAACUAACUAUUUAUCAUUAGGAGUUUUUGUCAUGAAUAAAAAUAUUGAAUUCAUGAAAACAUGAAAAUAUGGUCAAUGUAUGAUGAAUAGUGACAACACAUUUGAAAAUGACGAAUAUGUUUAAUAUGUUCCUUUACUGAGAUUGGAUUAUAGUAUACUGUAUAGAAUGAUACAGCUUUUAUUAUUCGAGAAAGACAAAGCUGACUAAUAAUGGAACUGUAUAACUUUAAUUUCAGUUUUCAGUUUACCUGAUAGUUUUGUGUUGUUCAAUAACAAUAAUAAUUAUAAUAUCUUUAAUUUUUGACCAGAAUGAUAACAGUCGUAAUCGUGCUUUUUUCAAGGGAUAUCUUCCAGUUUCACUAGCAGUACUGAUUCUUUAUGCAUGAUUUUCAGAAAUUUUAAGUGAAUCUUUUUAUUUUCUUAAGCAUCAAUGCUUUCAAAAUUGCACAAGAGUAAAUAAGUAUGGCUUUAUGGAGUCAAACAAUUCAAUAGAUUUUGUAAACCAAUAAGAUGAUAUAAUUUUUUUUUUCGGUAAUAAAAGAGCAUUAAGUGUUUUUUCCUGCUUGAUCUGUCAUUUUUUUCUCUGGAAUUUGUAUAUCAUCGCUACAGUAAAAUAGAAAUCCCAGAUUGGCGGUAUAAUAUAUCUAAAUAUUAUAGAAUUAUGUUUUAUGUAUUGACAAAACUACAAGGCAUACUAUGGAAAUUUGGCAAGGUUUACUAAAAGACUAACAAAGCAAAGGGGGAGGGUGUACCAGUCUUAAGAUCAAUUAAGCUUAAACUUAUGUGUGUAUUUUAAAUAUAAAUCCGGUAUUUUUUUAUAUGUUUUAACACUAUGUAUGUGAUUGUAUAUAUAUUAUGUGUAAAACAUUGUCAUUAUGAUCCAAUAAAAUUCGGAUUUGUCACUGAAAGUUUGUUGAAUUUGCGUCAUUUGGAUUUCAGUUCGUUAGUUAUCUUAUUGACAAUUAACGGUAACCACACCUCCUCUGACACAAAAAAAAAAAUGCGUUAACUCUCUGUUUGUUGAAGACUCUUUACUCUGGUGAAAAACACAUUUGUUCAGUUAUUCAGUCGAGAACAUUAUUAUCGCGACUGAACUUCAAACUUGCAAUUUCCGUACUUGAAAAAUGGGUAUUCGAUGUUUUUUUAUAACCAUAGCCAAACAGGAUAAAACUAAAAGCAUUUUUUUAAUUAGAAAAUGUUACAACACGAACAUCAAUUGUAUAAUUCAUUUCUGUGAUCAUCUGAUUAUCCAAACUUGAAUUUCUUUAGGUGACCCGUGUUUUUUUCGUGCCUUAAGUAUGACAACCUCUGUACAAGCCUAUCAAUGCAGUUGACAGACACGGAUCUUCAGUUUGGCAUUUUAUAUCUAGGCAAUAAUAACUGCAAAUAUACAUUCAGGAUAAAGCUGAUCUGAAUCCUACAAAUAUACAAAAUAUACAUGGAUUUUUUUGUUCAAUAGCAGUUACAACUAUAUGUAAUGUGACAACAGAUACUUCAGUGUCCUUCAGUUGUAUAUUAUUUUAAUAGUUUAUAUAGUUAAUUUGUACACUCCCCCUUUUUUAUAUAAUAUUUUACUCUUAAAAUCUAAGAAGAGGGUCAGCGUAUGCAGGUGAAGUAUUCUAUUUAAAAAAAAUCGAAUUGAUAAAAGUAGUUGCACUCUAAUAGGCUUAAAUAUACCGGAGAGAAAUUGAACACAAAAAAAUGACCAAUAAAUGUGAUAUACUCUAAUAUACUGGAAAGAAAUCAAACAAAAAAAUGAUGACCACAAUAAAUGCCUGUCAAUCUUAAAAUAAAUAUAUUGAACCUCUUUAUAUACAAGCAAAUCAGUCAGAAUGUUAUAGAUUGUUUGAAAUAUAUUUCGCAUUAUCAGAGAGUAAACUGUUAUGUACUUUGAGAACACCCCUCAUUUUUUACGUCACACUUAGAGUGCAUGCUGGUUAUUAUGUGGCCAUUUUAACAUUGAAGCGUCUGCCAGGAAAUGCUGUGGCAGAAAGAACAUAUUAAUAUCUCUAUUCUGACACAAAUAAAACAAUAAAACAAAGGUAAGUUACAUUUUUUAUCAAAAUUACAAGUUUAUUUACGAUAAUUCAAUCAUUAACAGUAGGUAAAGUUUCAAAAUAGUUGAGAGCAAAAUAUGCUCUCAAAAUCCAACCGAAAAUGGUGGCUUCAGCAUUAUGACGUCGCAGGAGGGCGUCCAAAAAAAUUUAUAAAAUAGCCGUCCAAGGCGUCAUAAUUAUUUGGACUACAAUACAAGGAUUUCUGAAAUUUGGUUUAAGGGUUAAUAUAAGUCAGCUAUACGUGUGAUGCGUUUUCAGAUUCAUCACUCGACAACUUCUGUUUACUGAACACUUGCAUAUUUUUACACAAUUAAUAUUAUCCACUUGCGGCGGGGGUAUCGUCAGUGAGCAGUAGCUUGCAUUUUCACUUGUUUUUUAUAUGUUGUCUACUUGCAUAAUGUUUAUUAUUUGAACAGAGUAUGGCAAAGAAUGUUGAAAAAUUCGGCGAAUACAUGUAUGUGUAUCAUGUAUUGCUGCAAACGAAAAAUUAUUAUCCCUUUAAUUUUGUUUAAGUACAUUUGUACUUAUCGUUAUUGAUAUUUGUUUACUGUCACAAUUCAUGCAGUAUCAUAACAAUUGCAUAACAGAGACAUAUAUAAUAAUUAAACUGUCUAUUUGUUGUCUCUUUGACAUCAUUUCACAUUUCUAUUCUCAAUUUUAUCAAAAUACUUUUCAUGUUUUACAAUUCGUAUAUGUUACAGUAAAUACAUGUAGGUGAAAUUAGGAAUUAUGUGUAAUUACUAAAAUUAGGAAUUACAUGUAAUUCCCGAUGUACUUAGUAAAUACAAGUAAUUCCUGAAACGGCCCAGUUAUUACCAGUAAUUACUAAUUUUAAAAUGAAUUUUGACACCUAUUUAAUAACUGUUAAAACAAUGUAAGCUGAUCAAAAGUUAUGGUAAUUCUAGCUAUAGAAGAUCAGUGAGUACUCUUAAAAAGUGAUUAGCCUAAAAUGUACCUUUUUUGUUAUAAGAGCAUUAGCUACGAGCUGUUAAAUAAAUUAAAUAUGAUUUUUUUGUUUGUUAAAUUAUUAAUGAAAAUUAUAUAGUGAAAUUAUUCAAAUUAAAAUUCACUUUUAGCAGUCAAUCUGGUUCUAUUUUACUUAAAUAAGCAGAGAAACAUGGUUGAUGAUUUUUGCACUUGCAAGUGACUAAUUGGACCUCAUUGAAUAUUAUUCAGUUGAAUUCAACACCUAGCUGGAGAUAGGUUACUGAUGUAUUCAUAUUUAAAAUUGUAAGGGUUUCGCAGAAUCCAGUAUCUCGCCUACUUUAGCUGUUAGUUGCAGGCUCAACAAAAAUGGAGGGGGGGGGGGGAUAUCAAAUCUUUUGACUAGUGCUGUAAGAAGCUUCUGUCCAAAUUUGGUUAAAAUCCAGGAUGGUUUAUGAAAUCUAAUAAAUGUCUAAAAAAAAACUUUAACCGCAGAGUGUAUGUAAUGUUAACUGGGGAAAAAAAACAAGUCCAUUUAUAGGGAAAUACGAAAAGGGAUUUCGAAAAAGGGAUUUUUUUACAAACUUUACUUCUGGAAAUUAUUUUAUGAUCAUAAACAAGCUUCUGUCCAAGUUUGGUAGAAAUCCAGGAUAUUCUGAGAAAGUUAUAAAAUUUAAAAAACUUUAACUACAAUGUGUCUUAUAAUGUAAUGUAAUGUUAACUGGCAUAUAAAUAUAAGUCCAUUUAUAAGUAAAAUUCGGAAAAACUUUAUUUUCACAAAAUUUACUUCUUGAAAAUUAUCUCAUAAUUAUAGUCAAGCUUCUGUUCACGUUUGGUAGAAAUCCAGGAUAAUUUAAGAAAGUUAUCAAAAUUUAAAGAACUUUAACCACAUAGUGAAUACUUGUGGAUGAUGCUGACGACAGAAUAGCUUGCUGUGUCUCGCUUUUGCGACAAAGGUCGCAGGCUCGACAAAAAGAAACAUAAUCAUAAUGACAACAUUGAAAGAAAAUCAAAAGGAAUGGCUUAUUUAAUCCACAAAAGAUCAUUCUUAUACAGAUAAAAACGAUAAUAAAAUUUUUGUUGCAGGUAUAUAAAGCUGGAGUUUGGAGGUCUUGACACUAAUUAGCGACAAGACGAAUAUUUGUUUUAUGAUUCAAACCGAUACUACAUAGUACAUUGUACAUGUUGUACUACAAUGUUAUCUUAUCUAUGAUUAAACUCAAAGUCAUCAUUAUAUAUAGCUAGAUAACAAAACACUUGCAGUUUAAUAUCACAUACAUUUGUACAUGACACAGGACAAUCACUGACAAGUUACAAGACUUGCUAGCAGUAACUGAAAGCCAAGCACAAAUGCCUAAUCUGUCGUACACUCUUAUUCUGCAGGUGGCUGUACCUCACUUUUUACAUUAGAUACCAUUUAACGUCAUACAAUGUAUCAGAAAACACUUGUGUUGAUUUUUGUUAUCAAACAUAAUUGGAUAACAAUUUAUAGAAAACUACCACAAAUAUCAUGCAAAUAAUCAGUUUAUUUCUUUUUUAGCUCACGUGGCCCGAAGGGCCAAAGUGAGCUUAUGCCAUCACUUGGCGUCUGUCGUCGUAAACUAUUUCAAGAAUCUUCUCCUCUGAAACUACUAGGCCAAAUACUUCCAAACUUUAACUGAAUGUUCCUUAGGGUAUCUAGUUUAUAAAUUGUAUCCAAAGUUUUGAUCUAUCAACAAACAUGGUCGCAUUGCUAAAAAAUGAACAUAGGGGUCAAAUGCAGUUUUUGGCUUAUAUCUCAAAAACGAAGCAUUUAGAGCAAAUCUGACAGGGGAUAAAAAUGUUCAUUAGGUCAAAAUCUAUCAGCCCUAAAAUUUUCAGAUGAAUCAAACAACCCAUUGUUGGGUUGCUGCCACUUAAUUGGUAAUUUUAAGGAAAUUUGCAGUUUUUGGUCAUUACCUUGAAUAUUAUUAUAGAAAAAGAUAAACUGUAAACAGCAAAAAUGAUCAUCAAAGUAAGAUCUACAAAUAAUUUAAUAUGACCAAAAUUGUCGAUUGACCCCUUAAGGGGUUAUUGUCCUUUAAUUAAUGACAAUUUUUCACAUUUUGUACAUCAUAUUUGCUAACUUUAAAAAAUCUAAAACUACUCAACCAAAUUCAACCAAACUUCAACUGAAUGAUCAGUAGGGUGUAUAAAAUAAAGUUUGUGUUUUAUUUUCUAUUUCGUCAAAAAACAUGGCCGUCAUGGCUAAAAAUAGAACACAGGGUAAAAUGCAGUUUUUGGCUUAUAUCUCAAAAACUCCAGCAUUUAGAGCAAAUAAGACAAGAAGUUAAAGUAUUUAUUAGGUCAAGGUCUACCUGUCCUGAAAUUUUCAGCCGAAUUGGGUAACGGUUUUCAGGUAUAAUGCCCCUGAAUUGAUGAUUUUAAAGAAAUUUUGCAGUGUUUGGUUAUUAUCUUGAAUAUUAUUAUACAUGUAGAUACAGAUAAACUGUUAAUAGCAAUUGUAUUGUGAAUCAUCAGAUUGACCUAGACUGUGUCUUAAUCAAGUGUAGGGCAAACUCAUGCCCAUUCUUUCCAGAGGUUCCUAAGAGGCUUUAAAAGGUAUUUCCAGGAUAGUACAUGGCCUUUGUUACUCUGUUUAAUUUACAACAAACAUUAAUUUAUUAAUUUAGUUAAUAAGGCAUUGUUUACCAGGUGACCGAUUCAGGCUCUUGAGAGCCUCUUGUUUGGGGUUACAUGUAUAUAUAUGCUUGAAGAUAUUGAUCUGAUUAUUAUGAUUUAUCAUGAUUAUAAUUUAUUGUAUAGUUUUUCCAUGACAAGUUGCAUAUCAAGUGUAAAAUUUGUUUCAGUUCAGACUAUUUUAUUUUAGCAGAAACUGAUCUGGAAUUAUGGUCCAAAACAAGCAUUUUUCAUGUUUCAUGGCAUAAAUUGUGUACAUGGUGUAUGUGUAGGAUCUCUAUAAAAUUGUACCACUUUGUACAUGUAGCAUUGUAGGUUCCAUACCUCAAAAGGAAGGUUUGGAUUACUUUUUGGGGUAAUGGACUAAACCUUUUUAUAAUUAUGGGUAAAAAACAAGUAUCUGGUAUCCGAACAUUAAACCCUUGAAUAAUAUACAUGUACAUUGUGCAUCAUUUGUGUAUGUUCAUACAUCUGAACGAAUAUAUACAUGUAGAUAUAAGAAGAUAUGGUAUUAUUUCCCUUCACCCAACUUGACCCAAGAUCAAUAGACAUAUUAUAAAACUACAGGUCACAGUAAAUCCUUCAACAAUGAGCAAAUCCCAUACAGUGUACCUUUCUAUGGAUCUCUAUGAAAUUGAGCCUCAAUUGCAAGGUUCGAUACCAAAGUGGUAAAAAUAUAAGAUCAAAGGGGUUUAUUAUAGAAGUUUAAGGGAAAAUUGUAUAAAAAUCAAUUUCAAAUGGUAACAACUUGAAAACUAAUUUAAUAAUGACAGUUACUAUUGUAAGACAACAAUCAUGACAAUGAAUGGAAUGACCUGCUUUUAGUUAUUGUGCCAAAUUUAAUAAAACUUUGCCUCAAUCAUUUAAAGGGUAUCUAAUGCUAUUAAUUGUGAUUUUCAAAACAACAGUGAAGACAGGUGAGCGACACAGGCUCGACACAGGCUCAUGAUAUUUGAUACUUGUAGAUAAUUACAUGUAGUACAAUUCCAAGUCUAAUACAAAUAGAAAGAAAUUCAUGGAUAUUACAAGCUAAUUGUUUGCAAAACUCUUUGAAUAGUAUUGUGUCCACAUGCUAAAUACUGUUUUCACCCUUUCAGCAAUAUAACAAGGAAUGGACAGAGGAGUUGACUAUUGAUUAUGACUGAUACUGGUAAUACUGGAAUGAAUUAACCUACAUGCAGUGUCCAAUGACUCCAUGCCUGACAGUCCAUUUUUACAUGUACAUAAAAUGUAUGUUGACAGCCAAUGG
rnacentral:lncRNA from 1 species